AACGAACGCUGGCGGCAUGCCUAACACAUGCAAGUCGAACGAGACCUUCGGGUCUAGUGGCGCACGGGUGCGUAACGCGUGGGAACCUGCCCUUAGGUUCGGAAUAACUCAGAGAAAUUUGAGCUAAUACCGGAUAAUGUCUUCGGACCAAAGAUUUAUCGCCUUUGGAUGGGCCCGCGUAGGAUUAGCUUGUUGGUGGGGUAAUGGCCUACCAAGGCGACGAUCCUUAGCUGGUCUGAGAGGAUGAUCAGCCACACUGGGACUGAGACACGGCCCAGACUCCUACGGGAGGCAGCAGUGGGGAAUAUUGGACAAUGGGCGAAAGCCUGAUCCAGCAAUGCCGCGUGAGUGAUGAAGGCCUUAGGGUUGUAAAGCUCUUUUACCAGGGAUGAUAAUGACAGUACCUGGAGAAUAA
rnacentral:rRNA from 1 species